rnacentral:rRNA from 1 species
GAUGAACGCUGGCGGCGUGCCUAAUACAUGCGAGUCGAGCGAACAGACGAGGAGCUUGCUCCUCUGACGUUAGCGGCGGACGGGUGAGUAACACGUGGAUAACCUACCUAUAAGACUGGGAUAACUUCGGGAAACCGGAGCUAAUACCGGAUAAUAUAUUGAACCGCAUGGUUCAAUAGUGAAAGACGGUUUUGCUGUCACUUAUAGAUGGAUCCGCGCCGCAUUAGCUAGUUGGUAAGGUAACGGCUUACCAAGGCAACGAUGCGUAGCCGACCUGAGAGGGUGAUCGGCCACACUGGAACUGAGACACGGUCCAGACUCCCACGGGAGGCAGCAGUAGGGAAUCUUCCGCAAUGGGCGAAAGCCUGACGGAGCAACGCCGCGUGAGUGAUGAAGGUCUUCGGAUCGUAAAACUCUGUUAUUAGGGAAGAACAAAUGUGUAAGUAACUAUGCACGUCUUGACGGUACCUAAUCAGAAAGCCACGGCUAACUACGUG